GACGAACGCUGGCGGCGUGCUUAACACAUGCAAGUCGAACGGAAAGACCCUGCUUUUGUGGGGUGCUCGAGUGGCGAACGGGUGAGUAACACGUGAGUAACCUGCCCUUGACUUUGGGAUAACUUCAGGAAACUGGGGCUAAUACCGGAUAGGAGCUCCUGCUGCAUGGUGGGGGUUGGAAAGUUUCGGCGGUAGUGGCUGGACUCGCGGGUUAUCAGCUUGUUGGUGAGGUAGUGGCUUACCAAGGCUUUGAAGGGUAGCCGGCCUGGGAGGGUGACCGGGCACAUGAGGACUACGGGAGGCACCAGAAGCGUAUGGGAGGCAGUGGGGGGAAAUCUUGCAGAAUGGCGGGACGCCUGUGACAGCAGCCCCGGGUGCGGAAAGCCGGGUUUCGAGGUGAAAACAACUUUCGAAGGAGACAAGGACGUCGUGACGGUACUGGGUAAGAAAGCCACGGCUAACUACGUG
rnacentral:rRNA from 1 species